rnacentral:rRNA from 1 species
UGGGGAAUAUUGCACAAUGGAGGGAACUCUGAUGCAGCGACGCCGCGUGAACGAAGAAGGCUUUCGAGUCGUAAAGUUCUUUUAUAUGGGAAGAUAAUGACGGUACCAUAAGAAAAAGCCCCGGCUAACUACGUGCCAGCAGCCGCGGUAAUACGUAGGGGGCUAGCGUUGUCCGGAAUCACUGGGCGUAAAGGGUUCGCAGGCGGAAAUGCAAGUCAGGUGUAAAAGGCAGUAGCUUAACUACUGUAAGCAUUUGAAACUGCAUAUCUUGAUAAGAGUAGAGGUAAGUGGAAUUUUUAGGGUGGCGGUGAAAGGCGUAGGUAUUAAAAAGAAUACCGGUGGCAAAGGCGACUUACUGGGCACAUUCUGACGCUGAGGAACGAAAGCGUGGGUAGCAAACAGG